AAUGGAACAAAAACAGAAGUGUGGUGAAUGAGACAUACAUACUGAAGCAACAAAUGCUCUAAAACUAGGCUUAUUCUGGUGACAUAAAUAAAAACCCACACUUUAAUUCCCCUAUUUGGUACUAUUGCAGACUUCACAUAAUUCAUGACCUCUGCCCCAAAUCAGGCUUUAAACACAAGAUGAUGUGUAUUAUUUGGUGUUUAUUCAUUUUUAAGAUCUCUAGGUAACAAAAAAUCAUUACAAACAGAGGUCACUUCAGCUUUUCUACGUCUACGUGAAACAGGCAAAAGGUUCCUCGUGUUGUGAAAUCCGCUAGGGUCCUUUAACUUCUGCUGUCAAAACUUCACAAGUUGGCUUGUUUACUCAGUCGCUGAGGAACUCUUAUCAGGGUGCUUCUAGUCAAACUCGACAGCUGAGCCAACAAGGGCCUGUUUUAGUCUUCAAUUGUGCACUUUAUUCAGUCAGAAAUUACUAAUAUUCUCACUAUUAACGCGCGGCUUGAAUUCACACACCGUGUAUUUUAUAUUUAAAGGGGCCGUUCACCCCCCAAAAAAUGAUCACCUGCAUUUUGCUCCAAAUUUGUAUGACUUUUUUUCUUAGGUAGAACACGAUAUAAAAUGUUAAGCAAGAUGGCUGACAAAGUCAGCGUUUACUUGCAUUUAAUCUUUUAUCGCUAUAUAAUGAAAGUGAAUGGGGACUGGAACAUUCUGCCUAAAAGACCUUCGCGAACAGCAUGAGGGUACAAUAAUCACCAACAAUUACAUCUGCUGACGUCAGACCAUCCCGAUCUCCUUCAGGACAAAGAGAACAGACCAUUUUCUCCGUCUCCAUAUAACUGGGAGGAACGUGAUAUGUCAGCAGGUGGAGUCGUUCUCCAGCUCUGGGGAAGCAGUAAGUCUUUGGUCCUCGGACUCUCCGGUGAUUGGCGUCUGUAGCGGUUUGGUUCUGCUUGGGACAGGAAGCUGUUCAGAAUGGAGCAGUUCAGUGGGGUCGA